rnacentral:tRNA from 1 species
GCCUGGAUAGCUCAGUGGUAGAGCUCCUGACUAGAGUUGCAGGGGUCCUGGGUUCAAUUCCCGGUCCAGAGCC